rnacentral:rRNA from 1 species
GGCGGCUCGAGUGGUGGCCACUAUUACUGGGCUUAAAGCGUUCGUAGCUGGUCUGUUAAGUCUCUGGGGAAAUCUGCCGGCUUAACCGGCAGGCGUUUCAGGGAUACUGGCAGACUAGGGACCGGGAGAGGUGAGGGGUACUCCAGGGGUAGGAGUGAAAUCCUGUAAUCCUUGGGGGACCACCUGUGGCGAAGGCGCCUCACCAGAACGGCUCCGACAGUGAGGGACGAAAGCUGGGGGAGCAAACC